rnacentral:rRNA from 1 species
AACGAACGCUGGCGGCAUGCCUAACACAUGCAAGUCGAACGAGACCUUCGGGUCUAGUGGCGCACGGGUGCGUAACGCGUGGGAAACUGCCCUUAGGUUCGGAAUAACUCCCCGAAAGGGGUGCUAAUACCGGAUAAUGUCUUCGGACCAAAGAUUUAUCGCCUUUGGAUGGGCCCGCGUUGGAUUAGCUAGUUGGUAGGGGAAAAGCCUACCAAGGCGACGAUCCAUAGCUGGUCUGAGAGGAUGAUCAGCCAAACUGGGACUGAGACGCGGCCCAGACUCCUACGGGAGGCAGCAGUGGGGAAUAUUGGACAAUGGGCGAAAGCCUGAUCCAGCAAUGCCGCGUGAGUGAUGAAGGCCUUAGGGUUGUAAAGCUCUUUUACCCGGGAUGAUAAUGACAGUACCGGGAGAAUAAGCUCCGGCUAACUCCGUG